rnacentral:rRNA from 1 species
CCGCUCCUUGAUUAAAAUACAUAAGGAGUCAGGCCUGCCCAGUGAUAUAUUUCAACGGCCGCGGUACUCUGACCGUGCAAAGGUAGCAUAAUCAUUUGCCCUAUAAUUAAGGGCUCGUAUGAACGGUCCGACAAGAAUGAAGCUGUCUCUUUUAAAAUUACUAAAAUUUGGUUUUUAGGUGAAGAAACCUAAAUAAUAUUGAUAGACAAGAAGACCCUAUCGAGCUUUAAAAAAAUUAGCUAAAUAAAUAGAAUAAACUAAAUCUAGCUAAAUAUUUUGGUUGGGGCGACUAAGGAACACACAAAGCUUCCUCAAUUCAGCAUUUUUAACGCUUUUUAGCAAUGAUCCAAAAUAUUUGAUUAAUAAAAUUAGUUACCGUAGGGAUAACAGCAUAAUCUUUUUUAAAAGUUCCUAUCGAAAAAAAGGUUUGUGACCUCGAUGUUGGACUAGGAUACCCAGACAGAUGCAGAAGUCUUCAAUGGUUGGUCUGUUCGACCAAUAAAAUCCU